AGUGUCAAAUGUGAUUUUGUAAAAUAUGCAGAUGGCGAGUUUUUUCUUUUUAAGGAGGAUUGUUGUCCUUAAAAACAGACCCUCCUACUCCUAAAGAGAAGCUCUUAAAAAAAUAAAGGUAAAUUUAGGAGGAUGCCUUUGGCUAGUAAUUGAACGCAUCCUCUGGAAGAUGGAUUUAGUAAUCGCAAUUAAUCAAAGGUCAUGGAAUUCCCUAAUCCUGACUCUGCUCUUGAUUUAACACGUUGCUGCCAAUUUAAAUUUGGACUGAAGAAACCUAAAGAUUUUAACCUAGAAUAAAUAUUUUGAGUUGAGUCUUAAUCACCUUUGCUAAAGUUUGAAGUGUUUUAAUUCCAAGGACUCUGACUUCAUGCCAAACAGCUUGCUUAUGACAGGGAACCGACAGGAAUUUCUUAAUCCAUUAACGGGUAAAUUAUCUCCCCUCUGGGAAUGUGGAUUUUAAGGCACCGACUCUAAUGGGUGGUGUCUUUGCUGUUCCCCAGACCUCAGGGCUCCAGUAUCUGUGGGCCUAGAGGAAGGCAUGCCCUUAGAUGCCAUUUUCCAUUUGGAAAGCUGCAUUUAAAGACUUCUUUGUUGUUAUGUAUUGUCUGAUUUUUAAAUCCCAACGACCCAAGGUGCCAACAAUGAAAGGAAAUGUUUCAGUGGCACAGUUAGUAGGACAAGAAUGUAAGAAGGAAAAAGAGAACUGAGUUCUUGGGCUAUUUUUAGAAAGAAACUUAAAAAAAAAAAAAAAAAAAAAAAAACCUUAAGCCUUUUUAUUGAGCCGAAGAGAAGUGUGCCGCCCAGAUCCCUGGCAAUUAUAACGGCAAAGUCUGUAAUGUCAUCUUCAGCCGUUCAAGGGCCGAUGAGCGUGUCCUUCAGAGUAUAUACUUUUAUCCAAAGGAACUAACUGUUCUUCUGUUAACUGUUACCAAGGCACCAUCAGAAUGCCAGGCUUUAGAGGUGUGCUGUAGUUGGACAUGAGCUCAUUUUCAAGCUGUUAUUCAUCUGCUCCGUUGUAGUUUAGUCCUGUGGAAAAGAAAAGCUGUUUAAGAGCCAUCUAGUUUUUAAUUUAACAAAAGGAGUUUCCAGAGGUGUUUGCACCAUGAGGAAGCCUGUGUUCUUUUAGGAGGAGUUGCUGAAAUGCUCAUCACCACUUGCAGCCUGUUGCCUUGGUGAUUUACGCGCGCUGUGAAACAGUGAUAGAGGCAGAGGAGCACGUUUCCAUGAUGUCAGGGUCGGGGUGGGACUCUCUCCUGUUUGCCCGUGAUGAUGCUCCUCCCUGCUACGGUCACAGUCCCCUCCUGAGAAGAGGCUUUGUGGACUGGCCGUGACCUUGGCCCUGACAGGUCCCUGUGCACUCACCUCAGCCUCCCACGGGAAUCCAGAUGCCGAGAAACCUGGGUAGCUCUGGGCUGUGGCCGGAGCCUGUGGCUUCAGCUGUGUGCUGGGCACACUGCUCUUGACUUGAUGCCUCCAGUCGUGUGUGCCCUGCUCUCCUGGCAGCCCGCCCUCCCGUCCUCAUCCUCCCCCUCUCAAAAUAGUUCUAGCCCCAGAGGCCCUGACAGAGGAACUCCUGACUGCUCUGGAUUCCUAGAGAAGGGCCAUCUGCUGUAAGCCUCAAGGGGGCUCAGGGAGACGGAGAGGACCCUUCCUCUGGAUGCCCCGCGUCCACGUGCGGCUGUCCAUGGGGCACUUUUUUUUUUUUUUUUUUUUCUUUUCUUUCAGGGCCGCACCUGCAGGAUAUGCAAGUUCCCAGGCUAGGGGUCGAAUCGGAUCUAUAGCUGCCAGCCUGUACCACAGCCACAGCAAUGCCAGAUUCAGGCCACAUCUGUGAUCUACACCGCAGCUCAUGGCAACGCCGGAUCCUUAGCACAUUGAGUGAGGCCAAGGAUCGAACCCGUAUCCUCAUGGAUUCUAGUCGGGUUUGUUACCACUGAGCUACGACGGGAACUCCCCAGCUUCCCUUUUGGUUUGGAGCUGCUCAGGGACCACAGCUCUGGAAUGUUCUCUCCCAGAAGGAAAUGUUGCAGGGCUCAGGCUCAAUGCUGAGUUUCCACGUUCUAUCUGGAGCAGCGGGGGCGGGGGGUGGGCUUGGGCUCUGCCAUCUAGGGCACAGGGUGUGGUCGUAGGACCCAGCCCCCGGGCAGGGAAUCUGAGGGCUCCUGGAAAUGCUGGGGCACUGUUACUGUUCAGCUGUAGUAAGCGCCCCCAGAGCCAAACAAUGCACAAAGGAAGCGAUGGUGCCUACUCGCCAAGAACCCUCGUGCUCGAAGUAGGCGGGCCCCAGAGCUGACUUACACAUCGAGUGAGCUGGCAGAGCCAAGAAUGGAAGGAAGGAGAGGAGAACAGGGUGAGCAGGGAAGGUCCGGGGUCGCCCUCAGGCCACCUUUCAGUUCAUCUGGCCUUUUGCCAGGGGCAGAGCCACCGGGCACUGCCUUCCCUGUUCCUGGGAAGGGGUGGAGGUGGGGGCGAGGACGGCCUCCCGGGCCUGACCCACAGCCCCAGUUCCCUGUGAUGAUCCCCGGCACUGGGAGGAGGCUCAGGAGUUUCCGCCUGCACCUGGACUGUUGCUGUUCUGUAGAGCAAGAGACAUGAUGCGUCUAAAAGGCAGGCAGUGUCUUUUCUCCAUAGAGUGCUCUUGGGGUGGAAGUACGAAUUGGGGUUCCAGAUUUUCUCUCCCUUUGAAACUGAAAUAUUCCCGAACUAGUUACUUAGCCCCAUUCUGGUUUGGGAGGUUGAGUCAACUGUUAAAUUAGGGAAGUGCCUUGAACUGCUCAGAAGAAAGGUGUUUCGAAGGCCAACUCAGCGUUAUUGCAGCUCUCAGAGGAGUCAGAAGGCUGUGAAUCAGAGGCAGUAAAAAAGGUGAGCUCGGGUAUUGGAGAUUAAUAAAUAGGAGGACGGGUAUGAAUCUGUGAGUCAUUUUCCCUUUAUACUCAAGCUCAUCCCAUCGCUGACUAAGGUUCUGGGUCUCAUUCCACGGAUCCACAACUGAGAGAACCUUGGAGAGACUGCAACAGAGAAGCUCAGAAAUGACUAAAGGGUUGAAAAAUGAUGCCUGUGCUAAGAUGUUAGGGAGCUUCUCUUCUUUAGCCCGUAGGGGAAAAAAUGACCAGGGGACUUGUGAAUUGUUAUUCAAGCAUCUGUGUGCUUCGGUACCAGGGAACAGUGGCCGGCUAGGAUUCGGUUCUCUCGAGGAUGUGAGUGUUUGGUCCAGUUAGGGUUGAGUCAGAACCGCAGUCCCCACAGUGUGAUCCACUAACCUCAGCAUCAAUAGCACCUGGGAGCUUGUGAGAAUUGCACAUUCUCAGGCCCCACUCAGGACCUGCCAAUUCAGAAACUAUGGGAUGGGGCCCAGCAACCUGUCUUUGAACUAACUGCCCCACCCCCACCCCCACACGUAAUUCAGAUGCACACUGAAGUUUGCGGACCACUAGACAAGGUACUAGAAGGGUUCUUAUAAAUUGAGGACUUGGGGUACAGCAAAGUCUAAACUUUUUUCCUGAAGUCUCUAAAAAAUGGGUUUGGAUUAGUUUGCAAUGUUUUCAACAUUCUGUCUGCAGUCAGAAGGUCACUGACCUCCCAGAGUCCGAGUAGCCCUGACUCUGCUCUGGAUGUCCUCCGUCACUUAAGAUGAAUAAUAAUAAAAAAAUUUUUUAAAAAAAGAAGAUGAAUAAUUAACCAGGAGAAUCGGGCAAUUACUUUUCUGAACUCAGUGGUUAAGACAGUGCCCAUGUCGUGUGAUCACAUGAGCUGUUGUGAUAGUAAUAAGUUGUGUUAUCAGAUAGAUCCUGCUUAGAUCACAGUCCUGUUAAUUACAGCGACUGUCUUCUCCCCACCUGAGGAGAGGUUUGGGCAGUGGUCAGAGGGGGAGCCCUUCGCUGCUAGCCCAGAACCCCUCCACGUCACAGCUGCUGGCUGGGUGGCUGCUCUUUUCACAGAGCGCCUUUCAAAAGAAAGGUAACCGCAGGGAAGUUUGUCUCUACCCCCUUGUCCUGCCUCUGUCACUUCCACCUGCAGGAAUGCCUGCCUUCUGCCUGCACAGGAAUCCCAUCUGGUGCCCUGGAAACUGGGGACAGUGGGGGACCUAAGUAUCUAGCAUUGGCAGGUCUCUCCAAGACCUGGAGGCCACAGACCUAUUUAUCCUGUUGCUUUGUAUCUACAGCAGACAGCGGAUGGUACACAGAUUCUGACCCUUCCCCAUCAAAAUACUUGUUCCUAAGAGUCCCUCUACCCCCGCCCCCCAAUUUUGCACAUAAUAUCAAUGCAUCUUAAUUCAGUUGUCUUUGCCACUCUUAUAUAUUUUUCCUUUGUAUUUUUGCUUGGAACUGUCUGUGGUUGAAAACACAAACUCGUGGGGGUGGGGUGAGAGGUCUGUUGUGCUACAUUGUAUAGCAUUUAAUGCAUUCAGAGCUUGCCCCAUCAGAAUGAGGAAGGGGUCCUCUGAGGACAUGCUUGGCCAGCCCUGCCUUAGAAAGUGUUGCACAGGCAGCGAACGGCUGUCCCCAGGGAGGACACGUUCAGCCUUGGCGGGAGCCCUGAGGCCCCGAGGCUUUAGCACUGAGAAUUGGGAUCGGUGGGAGCCUGGGCUUUCAUAGCUGUAGUUAACUACACCUCUGCAGGGUAUUAAAGACCUUCAAGUGAGGGCUCCUGGCUCAGACCCCAGUUUGCCUUGUAAGGGGAACGAGAGGGUUAAAGGCCGCAGGUGUGUAUUCUGAGCCGUUUGUGAGCCUUCAGACCUCGAUAUGUUGGAAAAAACUGACCUCUCAGAUGUUAAGCUGUGGGCACUGUUACUUCCCGAGGCCAUGUCCCUUGCAGAGUGUGCAAGGCCUGCUCAGUGUGCUGGCUGUGCACAGAGGCACUCGAUUGGUCUCAGCAAUCCGGAGGGCAGGCGGCUGAUUUUAACACCCUGGAUCAGUCUCCGAAUAGGAAACGUUUUCUUUAAAACCCAUGAACUCUCAACAACUAUAUCUAGCAGAGCAGAUUCCAAAUGUCUGGUCGAUUUAUUUCUUAAUAAAUAGCAGGGGAAAGGCUAUUUUCAUUUCUCUACAAAGAGGAAUGACUGACUGGUCCUUUUGGUAUUACAUCCUGGCAAAAAUAAUUUUGUUUUCAAAGUCAGUCGUAUCUUGCCCACGUAUAUGUCGUGAAAAAUGAGAGUUGUGGAGUUCUCGUUGUGGCUCAGCAGUAAUGAACCCAGCUAGUACCCAUGAGGACAUGGGUUUAGUUCCUGGCCCCACACAGUGUGUUAAGGAUCUGGUGUUGCUGUGAGCUGCAGUGUAGGUCACAGAUGCCGCUUUGAUGUGGCGUUGCUGUGGCUGCGGUGUAGGCCAGCAGCUGUACCUUUGAUUUGAUCCCUGCCCUGGGAACCUCCAUGUGCUGCGGGUGCAACUCUAAAAAUUAAAAAAAAUUUUUAAUAAAAUUAAACUUCUGGGAGUUCCUGUUGUGGCUCAGCAGGUUGAAGACUUGACAUUGUCUCUGUGAGAAUGUGGGUUCGAUCCCUGGCCUCUGCUCAGUGGGUCAAGGAGUCGGCAUUGCUGCAAGCUGUGGUGUAGGUCGCCCAUGUGGCUCGGAUCUGGUGUGGCUGUGGCUGUGGUGUAGACCUGGAGCUGCAGCUCUGAUUAGACCCCUAGCCUGGGAACUUUCAUAUGC
rnacentral:lncRNA from 1 species